GACAGGCAUGCCCCCCGGGAAGCCGGGGGGCGCAAUGUGCGUUCAAAGAUUCGAUGACUCACGGAAUUCUGCAAUUCGCAUUACUUAUCGCAUUUCGCUGCGUUCUUCAUCGAUGCCGGAACCAAGAGAUCCAUUGUUGAAAGUUUUGACUGAUCAAUUU
rnacentral:rRNA from 1 species